rnacentral:rRNA from 1 species
UCUACCCCUGUAUUUGGGAUAACUAUGGGAAACUGUACUCUAAUACCGGAUACGUUCAUGUAGUUGCGAUUAUGUGAAGAAAGAUGGCCUCUGACUUAAGCUAUUGUACAGGGAGGAGCUUGCGUACCAUUAGCUAGUUGGUAGGGUAAUGGCCUACCAAGGCAACGAUGGUUAGCGGGUCUGAGAGGAUGAUCCGCCACACUGGAACUGAAACACGGACCAGACUCCUACGGGAGGCAGCAGUGAGGAAUAUUGCGCAAUGGGGGCAACCCUGACGCAGCGACGCCGCGUGGAUGAUGAAGGCCUUCGGGUCGUAAAAUCCUGUCGGGUGGAAAGAAGUGUGAAGUGGUAAUA